rnacentral:rRNA from 1 species
AUUGAACGCUGGCGGCAUGCCUUACACAUGCAAGUCGAACGGUAACAGGUCUUCGGAUGCUGACGAGUGGCGAACGGGUGAGUAAUACAUCGGAACGUGCCCGAGAGUGGGGGAUAACGAGGCGAAAGCUUUGCUAAUACCGCAUACGAUCUCAGGAUGAAAGCGGGGGACCGCAAGGCCUUGCGCUCACGGAGCGGCCGAUGGCAGAUUAGGUAGUUGGUGGGAUAAAAGCUUACCAAGCCGACGAUCUGUAGCUGGUCUGAGAGGACGACUAGCCACACUGGGACUGAGACACGGCCCAGACUCCUACGGGAGGCAGCAGUGGGGAAUUUUGGACAAUGGGCGCAAGCCUGAUCCAGCCAUGCCGCGUGCAGGAUGAAGGCCUUCGGGUUGUAAACUGCUUUUGUACGGAACGAAACGGUGAGCUCUAAUACAGUUUGCUAAUGACGGUACCGUAAGAAUAAGCACCGGCUAACUACGUGCCAGCCGCCGCGGUAAGAC